rnacentral:rRNA from 1 species
UCGGGAAUUUUAGGCAAUGGGCGAAAGCCUGACCCAGCAACGCCGCGUGAAGGAUGAAGUAUUUCGGUAUGUAAACUUCGAAAGAAUAGGAAGAAUAAAUGACGGUACUAUUUAUAAGGUCCGGCUAACUACGUGCCAGCAGCCGCGGUAAUACGUAGGGACCAAGCGUUGUUCGGAUUUACUGGGCGUAAAGGGCGCGUAGGCGGCAAUUCAAGUCAUCUGUGAAAUCUCCGGGCUUAACUCGGAACGGUCAGAUGAUACUGCUUUGCUAGAGUGCAGAAGGGGCAAUCGGAAUUCUUGGUGUAGCGGUGAAAUGCGUAGAUAUCAAGAGGAACACCUGAGGUGAAGACGGGUUGCUGGGCUGACACUGACGCUGAGGCGCGAAAGCCAGGGGAGCAAACGGGAUUAGAUACCCAUGUAGUCCCUGAGCGGGCUGGCAAGGCGCAU